GCCUCCUUGGCUUAGUCGUAUAGCGCGUGCUUGGUAAGCACGAGGUCCGGGGUUCAAAUCCCCGAGGAGGCU
rnacentral:tRNA from 1 species